CUCGCAUGGAGUCGCUCGAGUGCUGAGAGCUACCGUAUGGUAUGAUGUAGACAAAGAUGGCGCUCCAGAAGAGUGCUCGCUUAAUAUACGUGAAAACCUAGAUGGAGUCACUGCUACCACAGACACAGGAGGUGGCAUCUAAGACUGUCAUCCCAGUGGGUGGGAGGCAGAGGGAGGAGGAUCCCAAGGUCAAAAUCACCCUCAGCUAAUUAGCAAAUUUGAGGCCAGCCCAAGGCAUUUGAUACCCUGCUUAAAAAAAAAUAAAAAGGCGGUUUAGAAUGUGCAGUUGGCGAUUUGACUGAAAAGGGUCAUUCAGGGAACAUGUGGGACAAGGCAUUAUGUGGGCAUAAGGUUAUUGUGUAGUUCAAAUGCUGAUUUCUGUAACCCUCCCCAUAUAUCUGGUUGCAGUCCUUGUUCUGAGAACCUCCUGUCUCAAUGUUGUGUAAACACUGCUCCCCAGUUGUCCCCUGAUAUGCCAAUAAUAAAGCAGAUUACAGACAGCCACUGUAAGGGAAGAGAAUAGGGCUGGACUUCCUGCCAGCCAGGGUAGGAGGAGGAAAGGAAGAAGUAGGGGAUUCAGAAGAUCCAGCCACGGGCAGUUAUCCAGGAGGGUGAUUCCAGGAGAAAGAGCUCAACAAAGAAACUACAAAGUGCAAGUGUCACUGGGAUGCACACAGGGAGAAAUCCAAAUUGGCUUGGAGGGCUAAGAAUAGAGUAAUAAGGGGCUGGAGAGAUGGCCCAGUGGUUAAGAGCACUGCUCUUUGAGAAGUCCCUGUGAUGGCUCACAACCAUCUAUAAUGUGAUCUGGCGCCCUCUUGUGGCGCUCAUGUGUUCAUGCAGACAGAGCACUCCUAUACAUAAAAUAAAUAAAUGUCUUUAACAACAACAACAAAAAGAACAGAGUAAUGACUGUUCAGUUAUUGUGCUGUGAAUUAUUAAACAGAUAUAAAAGAGUCCCAGUUAUUUGUGUGAUAGCCAGGUUAAGAGAGAAACUGAGAAAAACGAACGUAGUUUUAUAAAAAUAACUGUAACGACAUUGAUGUUUUCGGAGCAGUGAGGUGAUGGCAGCAGUGACAUACACACCCUAAGGCCCAUGCCGGCUAAGGACCGUGGUGAUAAAUGACGAAUGGUGACAGACAUCCUGAAAGCGUCCCUCAGCUGAGGCUGGCAGAACUGCAGCAGACAGGGGCCAAGAGAACAGGGUACCUAGACUUUUCCUUUCAGGAUGCACCUAAGCUUCAAGAGGAUUAGUCUCCAAGGGAUAGACCCCAGACUCUACAGGUUCGAGGCUUUUCUUCGUUUUUGACUGCUUUGUUUCUCCUGUGUGGUAAGACAGAAUUUGAUUGGGUAUUUUGAACGACUAGGCAGUAAUAUUGAAGUGGGGAAGGAGAAAGAAAGGUUGUUGCAGGAGAGAUGUGAUGGGGGUGGUUAGGUAGUUUAAGGACGUUGACAGCCCAUGAUUUUGUUUCUUGUUUAUUUCUUCCUCUAGGCUCUCGGGGUCCCUGCCACAGCAGAAUUCACUAGUCUGUGUCUGUGUCUAGCAAGAAGUUUGUGUCCCAGCCCUCCACUUGGAAACAGGUCAACUGUGCCUGGAAACACAGACUUAGAGCAAAUGGAAUGCAUCCUUUUUACUGAAACACAACAGAAACUGUGCUUCAUUCUGACUCCAGGGUGGGCAAGGCCAUUCAGGGGUGAGCCGAAACCUGAAUUAUUUAUACUCGGACAUAGCCUAACUUCCCCGAGGCAGUGACCAUAGGGUAAAGAGAGGCGACGUUUAGCUGUUUUGGAGUGCACUGGUAUCACCUUCUGGAGCAAUGUUUGCACUCACUCAAGAGGUGUUCGCUUUACUGUCUUUUUAACAACGAUUUUGAAAGUUUUGAUGACGGUGUGGGCAAGGCAGGGCUGACUUCUGAACCUCAGUAACUACACAUACUCAUAAAUAAAAAUAAGAGAAAAUCCAAUCCAAACAAGAAAACUCUGCAUCUCAAGUGGACUUCCAGUCACCUGAAGCUCCCUCCACCUCUGCGUCCUCUUGUUCAGCCGUUUGGUCACCUUCAUCGUCAUACACCGCCCUGUGGAACUCACGCUAAGACUGAAUAGAGCGUUGCGGAAGAAUCUUGAGCCUGGUAGACAUGAGUCUUAAAACCGAGAAGAAACGGAGAGGGAAUGGACGUGGGAGUCUGGGCCACUUAGUGCGUGCUUUCCAGCUGUGUGGAGAAGGAGAGCCUACGGAGAGGCGAUGGACCCCACACCCUCUCUUGGUUGCUCAAGUCAAGGAGCGUCUAUGGAAAGAUCUUUUCACCCAUUUACAGUUGUGGUCCCACUAUAAGACGGGAGGAGGAGGAGCCCUGGGUGGAGGGUUGGGACUUAGCCCCUGCCCUGGAGCCCCCUCAGCUAGCUCCUCCAGGGCCUCUGGGCGGAACCCACACGGAGGAAAACUGUCCCCUCUGUGCUGUCUUCUUUGGUUCCUCUCACAAAGGUAAUGUAUUCUGAAGCAUCAGAGCCAAAGUGAGCCCUGAAAGGUGAAAAAGAGAGCUUCCUUCUAUAGAGUCUGAGAGAGGACUCGGUUCAUGCAAAUGCCUCGGGCGUCCUGCCGUGAAGGCAUUGAGUGCCACAGGCCUCACAAAGGACAUUCUUCAAAUCCAGGGGUGGGGAGUGGGAAUAAAGGGAGCCUUACCAUUGUUCUGACCGUGGGAACAGGAGUACGCCAGGGACAUUGUCCCGGUCACUGCAAAGGGGCCUCCAGCCCCGCUCCUUGGAAUCACACAAGAAGUGGGCCAGUUGCUUGCGCAGCCUGCAAGGGGUCAUGGGAAGGUUGGAUAGCAGUGAGCGAAACUACAGGUUUGUAGGACACCGGCCUCCUUUGCAUGGUCUCAGCUCAGCAUGCUUCCGAGCCCGCAUGCAAAGAACUGUGGCUGGGCAUUGAAGGGAUCAUAGGAUUUAAUGAAGAUCUGUUAAUCUGUACACAUGGCAUUAUUAUUUUAAUUGUACAGAUUUACAGAGCACCGUGUUGCAACACCUGUAUACAGUAUGAAAGGCUCAGGCCAAUACAGUUAAGAUUUCCAUCUCGCACUUUACAAGUUUUUUUUCAUUAACAUGAUUUGUUCAUUUAUUACUCGUAUUUGUGGGGCACGGUGUGCGGUAUGUAUUGAUAAAAUCAGGAAAAUCCACACUUGCAUGUUUUUAGAAUUUCUUUUAUUUGGAAGCUCCUUUCUCCAGUUAUUUAUUAAAUGCAUAACAGAUAACUGUGCAGUCCAGCCUCACUCCCACUGUCAGAUGCCCUGGAACCGGAGUUACAGAUUGCUGUGAGCCAGUCCAUUUUUCUGGGAAGAGAACCUGUAUCCUUGGCAAGAGCUGCAAGUGCCUGUAAACACAGAGCCAACCCUCCAGCCCUUGCCUGCCCUGUUUAUGAUGCAGGGUCCUUUACCGGGACCCAGGGCUCCCCAUUAGAUUAGGCUGGCAAGCCCCAGGGAGCUGUGAGUCUCUGCCUCUGUAGAGACUCUGUAGCACUUGUGGGUGACAAAUGUAUAUGACCAUUCUUCACCUUUUUUUAUUUUUUAAAGCAGAUUCUGAGGACUGAACUCUCAGGGGCUGAGCUAUCUUCUCUGCCCGGGAGAAUUCCUUUCUAAUGGUCUAUGUGGAAUGUUAACUAUGGGCCAGGCAUCCUGGCAUGGAUGAGAGCCACUCAUGUUCUUCAGGGGACUGGCUUGCUUCCCUGGGGUAUCUGUGGACAGUCACCCGAGUCAGGAAACAGGGUUGCCCCUCCCAGGGAGUGGAAGAGGACAUGGGGGUCAUUUCCACAAGAAUGCACAGGACACAAAGGCUUUGACCUUUGCCACUUAAGUAGCUAAGCCAGGAAAAGAGCAGAGGAUUUUUUUUUUUUUAAACUGGUCUCCUUUGUUAGUAUUUACCGACUCCUUACUUCCUGGGCACCAUGGAAAUCCCCUGAUCGCAGGAAUGUUCGGUCAGAUGGGGAAGGCACAGGAGUUGCUUUUAUUGGUUAAAGUCAGAAAUUCAUAGUGCUGAGGAAUAGUAGCCGGCUGGUCAAAGAGUUUACACUUUGAGAGGAGAAAGAAAGCACGUUAGUUAGCCCACGCAUAGAGAGCGGGAGCCUGGAAAUGUGAGAAAUGUUUCUGGUUUUCUGUCAAAGGUAGUUAGCCUGGCAAGGACUCAUUUCCAGAACCUUGCCCUGUCCCUUUGCCUUGAUUAGCCAGCAGGGUCAGACAGCGCAGUCCAGCUCCCCCCUAUAGGAUGAGACACAGUCACCACCUACAUCCAGGGUAAAAGAAAGUCUUGGUCAAGUGUGCUUGCUAGCCAGGCUUGGGUCUUGGCUGCCCUUUUUGGAAAAAUGAUUGCUCCGUAGAGCUGCUUUCUCUUUGUUCCUGGGUUCCGCUGUGCGACAUUAUUCUUUAUUCUUGGAAGUGACAGGAGAACCACUUGCCUGUUGCAAUAAGCCGCAGGGGUGCUGCACUGUGGGACCGGUUUUCGGUAGUGUGAAUCCUGCCAAACUGUUGGCAAGGGCUGUCCUGGUUGGUUGAUGUUCUGGCCUGAUGCUAUGGUGCUUGCUGUUUCCCGGCAUGCAAUUCCCACCAUGCAAACGAAGGCAGCUGGAUGGUAAUAGACUGCCGCUGAUUCUGCUGUUCCGGUGGAGAACGUCGGAUCUUUCUGUUCUGAGGAUGCUUUGGGUACCUGCCUUGAAUGGGGACUUGUUCCCUUUAUGAUGUUUUGAGUUCUGGCCUUCCCUCCAAUCUGGUGUUUUUUUUUUUUUUCGGAGGCCCUGAUAGCGCUGAAAAUGUUCAUCUAUCAAAUCAUCCUUCUUAGCCUGCUAGUUGUGUGCAAGCCCUUGCAAAACAAACACUGCUGGUUUUGUUGUUGUUUACUGUUUCUGGCAAGGAGGAAAGCACCAACGAAUGCUACUUUGGCAAAACUUUAAAAAACUUUAUUAUCGAAAACAGUCCAUUCUACAGGAAGACCUAGUGCAGUGUUACAUAUAAAAUCCUGAACUUUCACGAAGCAGUUCUUGCAUUGCCUCAGAGGCAAGCACUAAUGCUCCCCCAUUUUGGUUGAACGGUGACAAUUUCCCCAAACGACAGUGAUAUGGAACUUGCUUCUCUAGAUUCCAGCCUUCCCUGCCCUGACCACCCCAUGUUAUGGUCACAGAGGAGAGAUGUUUAUUGAUCACCUGACAUCCUUUAACUGGGUACUCACUGGUUACCCCUAGCAACAGAGGGCUUUGGGCCAAACCAAACCAAACAAAACAAAAAACAGAGAACCCACUCCCACCCUCUCACAUGGGUGUAGUUGCUCCUCAGUGACCCCGUCAUGCUGCUGUCUGCCUAUCUGUAGCAUCAACCUGUCUCCCAAUAAACCCCUUAAAAAUAGAACAAUCCGUCUCAGUGUCGGCCUUAGAUCCCGAACUUGAAGACUCUCAGUUCUGCUAACGCUCAAUGAAGGGGUAAAACAGGAUGAGUCCCCGAGAGCCUUGAGCUCUGUUGCAGUAUAGGAUUCCACCCCCAGUACGUUCUGCUUCGGGAACCUUCCCUCCUCCAGGAGCCCCCAGCCCAGCUCUGGCUCAUGGGUUGACUAUGAGUAAGUGGAUCAUGUCUGCUUUGGGAGACGUGCUUUGUGAGGGUGAGUUUGCGGAGCUUUUCCUCAUAGAACUCCACCUGUGAGUCAAUAGUGCUUUUCCAGCCGGCAUUCUCUUACUUUACCACUGAUGUGCCUGAGAGUCUGUGGUGUCUGGUGUCGGCCGUGUGGUAUUCAGGGAUGUGGAGGAAGAAGAGGUGAAGUGACGAGACCACCUGUGUGGUUCAGUCUACUCUGCGAGGCUCUGUUCCAGAUGGCUUUCUGUGGUUGAGACAGAGGCCCAGGAGGAAAGAACUUACAGGGAAGAAAGGAGGGAGAGCUCUCUCUAGUUUGGUCCAUGACUUUGGAGGCUCAGGUUCAUGUCCUGAGAGUUACUGAGGCAGAAACAACAGGUGGUGUGUGGUUAAGGCAAAGCCACUUUGCUUGCCUUGUGGUGGCCCGGAAGCAAUCGGCUGCACCCUAGUUUCCCCUUCAAGGCCACACAACCCUCCAACUGGACUCCACUCACUGAAGUUGCUAGUACGUCCAUGCUGAAUCACCUGGGACCAGGCUCCCACAGAGGACUCUCUGGGUGCUACUGCAGAUCCCAGUUGCAGAGCACAGUUCUGGACCAGUGGAAAGGAGCUAUUGGGGAAAGCUAUGGCCGACUAAGUGUUUAUCAUUAGGCUAUAAUUAUUGCAGUGGUAUUAUUUAACCAGCUGUCCAUCAAAUAAAGACACAGGCACCUGUUGUAUUUUGUAAAAUAGCUUUUACCUGGGGCACUGUAGAUAUUAAUCCUCUAAACUAACUUCUCCUCCCAGGCCAAUCUCGAGCUUUCUUCCGUCCAUGGUCCCAAAAUACUAAUUAAUGUUCUCCGUCUCCUCCAUCCAUGCUGAUCCAGCCAUGUGUUCCUUUCCCACUAAUCCGUAUCACCGGUCCAUUUCCUUCUCCGAUCCUGUCUUUCUUCUCUACCUCUCCUCAUGGUUCCUCGAUCCCAGGCUGUGAACCCCAAACUCUACCUCCCUUUCUUCUGCCAAAUCCCAAAUUUCAGCAUUUUAAAAAAAUCAACCAAUCAGCGUUAAAUUAGAUGGAGCAAGGUUUACACAAAAAGGACAGGUGUAUGUGAGAAUGUGCUUGUCUGGGCAGGGACAAGAUCUUGAGGGCCAGUAAUUAACACUAAAAUACAUAGCACCAAGCCAACCCUCAACAGGAACCUUCAGGAUUAUUCUAUUUGAAGCCACUCUGCAUGCUGUGAAGUUUUACAGAGAUGAGAGCAGUAAUUGCCACUAGUAUGGUAUGAAAAGAAUCACUGCCCCCUGAUUAUAGAGGAUAGCAGACACCUCUCAGACACGAGUAACCACUCACAAAUCAGUGCUCUCUAUGUGACCACAAAACUCUGUGAUCUUGGGCUGGAAAGAUGGCUCAGAGAUUAAGAGCACUGGCUGCUCUUCUGAGAGGUCCUGAGUUCAAUUCCCACCAACCACAUGGUGGCUUACAACAGUCUAUAGGGAGAUCUGGU